rnacentral:rRNA from 1 species
CCUACGGGUGGCAGCAGUGAGGAAUAUUGGUCAAUGGACGAGAGUCUGAACCAGCCAAGUAGCGUGAAGGAUGACUGCCCUAUGGGUUGUAAACUUCUUUUAUAUGGGAAUAAAAUGUUCCACGUGUGGGAUUUUGUAUGUACCAUAUGAAUAAGGAUCGGCUAACUCCGUGCCAGCAGCCGCGGUAAUACGGAGGCUCCGAGCGUUAUCAGGAUUUGUGGGGUUUAAAGGGAGCGUUGGUGGGUUGUUAAGUCAGUUGUGAAAGUUUGCGGCUCAACCGUAAAAUUGCAGUUGAUACUGGCAGUCUUGAGUACAGUAGAGGUGGGCGGAAUUCGUGGUGUAGCGGUGAAAUGCUUAGAUAUCACGAAGAACACCGAUUGCGAAGGCAGUUCACUGGACUGCAACUGACACUGAGGCUCGAAAGUGUGGGUAUCAAACAGGAUUAGAUACCCCAGUAGUC